ensembl:lncRNA LINC01741 long intergenic non-protein coding RNA 1741
AGAAUUCUAAAGCUCAGAGAUUCUCCAUGCUGCAUCCCCCAUACCAUCUAUAUCUAAGGCUGGGGUGUAAAGUAAGAAAUGGUUUUCAACAAGCAUGCUAGGGCCACCACAACUAAUCCCACUGCCCUGCAAGCAUCUCCAGAUGAUUUUGAUGCAGUUGGUCCACAGGUCACAGCCUGAAAAACUCUAAGACCGUCAGCUGAUCAACUACAAUAAUAUUCUCUCCAGCAUUCCAGACAAUGGCUUUCCAACCCCUUUAAGGACUGGGGUUUACUACCUACUCAAGCAGUCCAUUUGUCUUCAGUCAGAUGACUAUUAAAAAGUUCUUUCAUAUACUGGGUCCAAACAGGACUUUCUGAACUUUCUGGCUAUUGUUACCAGUUCUCUUUUGUGCAGCUCAGAGUAUUUCGAGGCCAAUGGCCUGAGCUACAAGUGAUUGAAAGGGCAACUUAGGUUCAGGUGAUUCCUCGAAAGAUUUGGUCCACAUGACUGCUCACUCACCGGUAAAAGGGCUUAAUGUAAGCCAGCUAUAUUGCUGACUGUGCAAGGAUGUGGGGUUGUCUGAGAAUAGCCUUCAAUGGCACUGACUGACUAGGAGAGCCUCAAGAAUACUUUAUAAAGCCCAUGGUUGCGCAGUGAAUCUGGGAACCUGAUAAGAAAAUAGGUUGCUACGGUUCUGCUUAUUAGAGUGGACUCCUAGACCUAAUGAAAAUGCUAAAUUAUAAAUCCAGAAUAAGAACUGGAAUAAAGUUCUCUAGAAUUACUAGAAACAGCAAAAGAAAACUGGAUGAAGACAAUAUUGGAGCUUUUCUACUUUAGCUGACAAGCUGGCACUGUACUGGAUACUGAGAAAAAAGUGGUAAACAAAACUAACAUGGUCUCUACUCUCCUGGAAUUAAAAGUCUAGUGAGGGAUGACACAGUAAACCAUAAAGAAAAUAUUAAACGGGGUAGUGAGGGCUGUCCUCUCAACUUGGAAGACCAUCCCAGCUGAGAGGAAUCAGUGUCACCAGAAGGACCACAAGGAGACAAACAUGAGUUGGAAUCCUUCUUUUACCACUUCCUAGUGGUGGGUCUUAGGGAAUUUACUUAACUUCCUGGACCUCAGUUAUAUAUCCUGUAAAACAGAGAAAAUUAUACCUACCUUUAAAUAAAGAAUUGCUGUGGAAAUGAAA